rnacentral:rRNA from 1 species
UACGAAGGGUGCAAACGUUGCUCGGAAUUAUUGGGCGUAAAGCGCACGUAGGCGGUAUUGAAAGUUGGAUGUGAAAUCCCUCGGCUUAACCGAGGAAGUGCAUCCAAAACUCCAGUACUUGAGUACUUAAGAGGAUCGCGGAAUUCCCGGUGUAGAGGUGAAAUUCGUAGAUAUCGGGAGGAACACCAGUGGCGAAGGCGGCUACCUGGACCGGUUCUGACGCUGAGGCGCGAAAGCGUGGGUAGCAAACAGG